AACGCUAUGUUGGACUUAGG
rnacentral:snRNA from 1 species